rnacentral:lncRNA from 1 species
UCUCGCGCAGGUACGGCAUGACGGAAGCAGUGCGCAGCGUGUCACUUGCACUGCGCACCACCGAGUGUCUCGGCCUGCUGGGUCUGAACGGCGCUGGAAAGACGACCACGCUGGAGAUGCUGGCUGCUCUGUUGCGGCCCACCAGCGGAGACGCAUACAUCAGCGGCCUCUGCAUGUCAGAAAAUCCCAGGAAGCCAUGGCGACAAGCGCAAGUUAUCUGUAGCAGCUGCUAUGGUGGGCCUACCGCGACUCGUGUUGCUUGAUGAACCUGUAGCAGGCGUGGACAUCUUGGCACGGAGGUCGAUUUUCCAGGGGCUACAGGCUAUCAUCAAAAAGGGAUACUCGUCCGUUAUCCUCUCCUCCAACAACAUGGACGUAUGCGAGGCGAACUGCAGCCGCGUGGGUAUCUUGGUUUCGGGCCAACUACAGUGCCUGGGCAGCGUGCAGCGACUG